UUGUCAUUCUAAUUUGUAAUCCUCGGCUCCUUCUAGUUAGCCAGCAAUGCGCUGAUGUGUAUUUCUGACAACAGAAGGGCGAAAAGUCAGUGUGGCUGGAUCAAAAGAGACGUUGGAGGAAAAACUAAAUAAAGCAAAACGUUGCUUUAUUACAAGAGAACAAGGAGAUGGACUCUGCACAAGGAGAAACGUCACAAGCGGUUUGAAUCCUCGCAUGGAAAAAACCUUCUCCUCUCCGACGACUCCUCUCGGCGUGGAGCCCUGCAGGCACGGCCUUUUUUGUGUCGGCCCAUUUCAGUGCCAGCGAGGAGCGUUACGGCCACGGCGACGGCGGGGAAAAGUGCUUUCCCGAGCUCCCCUGUUGUUCCCCUCUGGAUUCUGGACUGCCUCCCUUUCAUCCUCGACCUCCACUUUGACACGGACCUCUGAUGCCUCGCCGUUCUCCCUGAUGAGCUCCGCCCAUACUUGCCAACCCUCCUGGAUUUUCAGGGAGACUCCCGAAAUUCAGUGCCUCUCCCGAAAACCUCCCGGGACAAAUUUUCUCCCGAAAAUCUCCCAAAAUUCAGGCGGAACUAGAGGCCACGGCAUUUCCAGCUCCAAGCGGACCUGAGUGACAUGUCGACAGUCUGUUUUCACGUCCGCUUUCCCACUGUAUAAAGAGUGAGCCUGCCCAAUGACGUUAUAACUGUAGACUGAUCGAGAGCGAGUUCUUGGUUUCUUAUGUAAGUUUAUUGUUAGGCAGUUUCAUUAAAGUCCUCCCAGCCCGGGAAUAACACACAA